ACAGCUUCUUUCAACGAUUAGGUCACUCCACCUGCUAAAAGUAACAGGCUUAACAUUAGUGUUGGCCCGUCCCCUUGGAGUGGCUUUCUUGACGCCUUUCUAAAUGGACUGGAACUUCUGUUCAGCGCUAUGGAACUUCCACAUGUUGAUACUGAAAAGUACUGUGACACUAACCAAAUUGGAAUAUGAUAAAUUCUUUUUCUACCUCAGAGAUUGUUUCAUUUCUUCAUUUUGUACUGGAUAUGUCUGCAUAUUUCAAUGAUCUGUUCAUUUUUACUACUAGGAUACUACAGGUAACUAAAGUAACAACUAUUAUGAAUACACAGUAAUAAUUGGCCUCAUAUAUAUUUGACAGAAGCUAAAAAUACAGUGUUCUUUGUUGUAUCUUUAAAGGUUGCUUAUUCUUCUCGAGUGGAAUAAGUGUCUUUCAUUAGUUUAAUUUAAUGAACUCUUUUGGCAUUUAGUACAAACACUUGUUGUUAUCUGUUAUAUUCUUUUGUCAAUCUUACCUAUCUUUCAGGACAUCAUAGGUAAAUUAUACAGACAUAUUUUUGACUACUGCUGAUGUAACUAAUCUCCGGAGAGACAAUAGAGACCAAUGCUGCAAAUUAUAUGUGAAUAGAAAUAACUGAUCAGGUGAAGUUAAAAAGUUUUUACCAGUAAGUCUUGUUGGUAGUGAUUGUAAUUUCUCCAACAAACUUUUAAGCACUCAUUGCUAUAUUGUAUUGACAUAUUUAUCUAAAUGUUCGUAUUCUGAAAUACAUUUGAUGACUAACUGUAUACCUUUUUUUGUCAGAAUCUUAUUCAUAUUUUGAACCUUUAAGCCAUUAUUGAUGGACGAAGUGAGAUUGCAGAUGGAAUAAGUGACGCAGAUCAGACUCUGCUCUCUUCAAAUCCUUAAAUGUUUUGCCUUGGAGGAACAGAUUCCCAAAUUGAGUAAAUCGUUAACCAUGAUGAAACAAAAGCGGAUCCAUUACAACCAUUCUAAAUGGUCAGAAAGUGCAGGGCUUUUUGGCCACAGCUUCUUUCAACGAUUAUGUUACUCCACCUGCUAAAAGUAACAGGCUUAACGUUAGUGUUGGCCCGUCCCCUUGGAGUGGCUUUCUUGACGCCUUUCUAAAUGGACUGGAACUUCUGUUCAGCACUAUGGAACUUCCACAUGUUGAUACUGAAAAGUACUGUGACACUAACCGAAUUGGAAUAUGAUAAUUUCUUUUUCUACCUCAGAGAUUGUUUCAUUUCUUCAUUUUGUACUGGAUAUGUCUGCAUAUUUCAACGAUCUGUUCAUUUUUACUACUAGGAUACUAUAGGUAACUAAAGUAACAACUAUUAUGAAUACACAGUAAUAAUUGGCCUCAUAUAUAUUUGACAGAAGCUAAAAAUACAGUGUUCUUUGUUGUAUCUCUAAAGGUUGCUUAUUCUUCUCGAGUGGAAUAAGUGUCUUUCAUUAGAUUAAUUUAAUGAACUCUUUUGGCAUUUAGAACAAACACUUGUUGUUAUCAGUUAUAUUCUUUUGUCAAUCUUACUUAUCUUUCAGGACAUCAUAGGUAAAAUAUACGUACAUAUUUUUGAUUACUGCUGAUGUAAAAGCAUCUCAAGCCCUCAAGAAAAAAGCAUUUGCAGCAUGAAAUACAUGCAAAGAGAGAAAUUACAUCUCUCACUAUAUGUUGAACUUAUCUCGGGAGAGACAAUAGAGACCAAUGCUGCAAAUUAUAUAUGUACUGAUGCUUCGCCCCUUCGCCCCUACUGAUGGCAGUUCUAUUGUUUAUUGUGGGAACAUGUGGCAGUUCCAUAAGAGUAUGGAAGACAUCUCCAAAUUGCAUGAGUUUUUCUGCAUUGGCAUGUGCAAGACUAUUUCUUCACUGUUUUGUUUUAAUAAUAGCACUUCAUAUUUACACCCAGACCUAGGUAAUAAUUUUUUUCCCUACAGCCUUGUAUACUUCACGCUUUAACUAUUGUGUUUUGUCUGUAACUGGCUUUAGUUACUUGUUCUACUAUAAAGGGUAAUCAAUGUCCAGAUGAAGUUUCAAUGGCUUA